rnacentral:tRNA from 1 species
UGGCUCAGUUGGUAGAGCAUGGUGUUUGCAACGCCAGCGUGGUGGGUUCGAUUCCCAC